CAAAAUCACCAGGGGUGCUUUGUUGAUUCAAGGCUGAGAAAAACCCUAAUAACCUGCUCAGGAUAAUGCCUGCGGAGGGAGUGUGAGUUGUGCUUGUA
rnacentral:ncRNA from 1 species